rnacentral:rRNA from 1 species
UACGUAGGGGGCAAGCGUUGUCCGGAAUCAUUGGGCGUAAAGAGCGUGUAGGCGGCCCGAUAAGUCCGCUGUGAAAGUCCAGGGCUCAACCCUGGGAUGCCGGUGGAUACUGUCGGGCUCGAGUCCGGAAGAGGAGUGUGGAAUUCCUGGUGUAGCGGUGAAAUGCGCAGAUAUCAGGAGGAACACCGGUGGCGAAGGCGGGUCUCUAGUACGGUACUGACGCUGAGACGCGAAAGCGUGGGGAGCGAACAGG